rnacentral:rRNA from 1 species
AGCUUGCUCCUUGAUUCAGCGGCGGACGGGUGAGUAAUGCCUAGGAAUCUGCCUGGUAGUGGGGGACAACGUUUCGAAAGGAACGCUAAUACCGCAUACGUCCUACGGGAGAAAGUGGGGGAUCUUCGGACCUCACGCUAUCAGAUGAGCCUAGGUCGGAUUAGCUAGUUGGUGAGGUAAUGGCUCACCAAGGCGACGAUCCGUAACUGGUCUGAGAGGAUGAUCAGUCACACUGGAACUGAGACACGGUCCAGACUCCUACGGGAGGCAGCAGUGGGGAAUAUUGGACAAUGGGCGAAAGCCUGAUCCAGCCAUGCCGCGUGUGUGAAGAAGGUCUUCGGAUUGUAAAGCACUUUAAGUUGGGAGGAAGGGCAGUAAGUUAAUACCUUGCUGUUUUGACGUUACCGACAGAAUAAGCACCGGCUAACUCUGUGCCAGCAGCCGCGGUAAUACAGAGGGUGCAAGCGUUAAUCGGAAUUACUGGGCGUAAAGCGCGCGUAGGUGGUUCGUUAAGUUGGAUGUGAAAGCCCCGGGCUCAACCUGGGAACUGCAUCCAAAACUGGCGAGCUAGAGUACGGUAGAGGGUGGUGGAAUUUCCUGUGUAGCGGUGAAAUGCGUAUAUAUAGGAAGGAACACCAGUGGCGAAGGGGACCACCUGGACUGAUACUGACACUGAGGUGCGAAAGCG